GACAGAGGGUGCAAACGUUUGUUCGGAAUUACUGGGCGUAAAGGGCGCGUAGGCGGCCUUCUAAGUCGAACGUGAAAUCCCCGGGCUCAACCCGGGAACUGCGUCCGAUACUGGAAGGCUUGAAUCCGGGAGAGGGAUGCGGAAUUCCAGGUGUAGCGGUGAAAUGCGUAGAUAUCUGGAGGAACACCGGUGGCGAAGGCGGCAUCCUGGACCGGCAUUGACGCUGAGGCGCGAAAGCUAGGGGGAGCAAACGGG
rnacentral:rRNA from 1 species